rnacentral:rRNA from 1 species
UUUUAAUAAUUUAUUAUUAAUACAACCUGCUCAAUGAUAUUAAAUAGCCGCAAUUAUUUGUGCUAAGGUAGCAUAAUCAUUUGUCUUAUAAUUCAAGACUAGAAUGAAAGGUUAAACAAUUUAAUUAUUAUCUAAAUUUAAACAAUUUAAUCUAUUCUAAAUAUAAAAAAAUAUUUAUAAUCAAGAAAGACGACAAGACCCUAUCGAACUUCACUUUAGUUUAACUGGGGAAGUAAGUUAAUUAAAAUUUUAAUAAUCCUUUACAAAAAAAAAUCUAAUAAAAUUAAAUAAUUAAGUUACCGUAGGGAUAACAGCGCAAUUAUAUUCUAAAGAUCUUAUACAAAAUAUAUAUUACGACCUCGAUGUUGAAUAAUAACCUAUUUAAUGCACCGAAUAAAAAAGGUAGUCUGUUCGACUAUUAAACAAUUACA